UGGGGGAUCGUCUAGUGGUAGGACGACGGAUUCUGGUUCCGUUAACCCAGGUUCGAAUCCUGGUCCCCCAG
rnacentral:tRNA from 1 species